GUCGGCAGUGCGGGACCGCGCCACCGCCGCACACUCUCAGGUGCCGACAGCUCGGCUGCGCACGGAGAGGCGGCUGGCUGUCCGCACCCGGCCGGGAUGAAGUACAGAUGACCCGUACCCGCGAUCCUCUGGGGGUUCUCGGCGGCGCGAUAAUUUACUGCUCUCGCGAUAUUUUCAGAGAUUCCCGUCGUAGCCCCCGCUUAUGCGGUUACCAAGGCAACUGGGCGGCACCAGCGCGAGCGGGAAGGCGGAGUACGUCGAAUUUUUGUAGGCUAGCCUGGAGACUUGAGGAGUGGCCCUCCCUGAGCUUCCAGUCCCAGAGACCACGGCCUCUGCUCCAGGAGGUAACCCUUACCCAGGGGGCCAUGGGUCGGAUCUCGGGACUCGUGCCCUCUCGCUUUCUGACGCUCCUGGCGCAUUUGGUGGUCGUCAUCACCUUAUUUUGGUCGCGGGACAGCAACAUCCAGGCCUGCCUGCCUCUCAAGUUUACCCCUGAGGAGUAUGAAAAGCAGGACAUGCAGCUGGUGGCAGCGCUCUCUGUCACCCUGGCCCUCUUUGCAGUGGAGCUGGCCGGUUUCUUCUCAGGAGUUUCCAUGUUCAACAGCACCCAGAGCCUCAUCUCCAUUGGGGCUCACUGUAGUGCAUCUGUGGCCCUAUCCUUCUUCAUAUUUGAGCGUUGGGAGUGCACCACGUACUGGUACAUUUUUGUCUUCUGCAGUGCCAUCCCAGCCGUCACCGAAAUAGCAUUAUUCAUCAGCGUCUUUGGGCUGAAAAAGAAACCUUUCUGAUACCUUCGUGACUGGAAGUAGGGAUGAAGGCUGGAGAAGCGAGGGACCACUCACCGUUCCUGGAAGAAGGAAACCAUAGACUUCAGCCCUCCCCCUAAAACUGCAUUUGGUGGAGGAUGUCAGUGUUAGGGAUCCAGACGCGCAGGCUCAGCGGCUAUGGUUGAGAGGCCCAGCCGCUCCGCUGCAUGCGGGAUCUUCCCGGACCGGGGCACGAACCCGCCUUCGUCUGUAUCGGCAGACGGACUCUCAACCACCGCGCCACCAGGGAAGCCAAAAACACAUGCAAGGAGAUGUUUUCUGGUGAUGCCCUGCAGGUGAUUCCUGUACGUAGAUAACUUUUUCCUAGCUCUCUCUGUUUUCUGGCAGCGCUUCUUUAUGGAUACUAGUACUGUAUGCUGUAGUAGGCACUGAGGGAGUAGAUGUUUGAUCCUCGGCCAUCACAGAUAUUGCGGCUCAUGGAAAGAGACAGAAGUGUGUGGUACUCUCAGAGUAGUUUAGUUCUAAAUUGUUAUAAAAGGUGCAGAGGCGAUUUACAGGUGCUACGAAGGAGUGAUGAAAUUGCCGAAGGUGGCAGGAGUGCUGCUUCUCAGGAGCUGUUUGAGUGAGGUCCUCGAGUGUGGCUGGAGCAGAGAAAAAAGGGAGCAGGUUGUCCGCGAGGAAAAAAAGGUGGACCUUUGCAACGUCACGGGUUCGAGCCCUGGCUCAGGAGGAUUCCACAUGCCGCGGAGCAACUACACCCAUGCGCCAUAACUACUGAGGCUGAGCGCUGAAGCCUACAAGCCACAACUCUUGAAGCCUACACGCAUUAGAGCCUAUGCUCCGCAACAAGGGAAGCCAUGAAGCCACGGCAAUGAGAAGCCCACGCACUGCCACAAGGACCCAACACAGCCAAAAAUAAGUUAAUUAAUUAAUUAAUUAAAAAAGAAUCUUUGGGCUUCCCUGGUGGCGCAGUGGUUGAGAGUCCGCCUGCCGAUGCAGGGGACACGGGUUCGUGCCCCGGUCCGGGAAGAACCACGCGGAGCGGCUGGGCCCGUGAGCCAUGGCCGCUGAGCCUGCGCGUCCGGAGCCUGUUGCUCCGCAACGGGAGAGGCCACAACAGUGAGAGGCCCGCGUACCGCAAAAAAAAAAAAAAAAAAAAAAGAAUCUUGAAAUGUCAUGUCUAUAGGCUGUUACACUGUGAAUAGCACAGAAAGUUGAGGAUACAUUCCAGGAUUUGAAAACUGUUGUCAGUUUCAGCAAAGAAAU